rnacentral:rRNA from 1 species
UACAGAGGUCCCAAGCGUUGUUCGGAUUCAUUGGGCGUAAAGAGCGUGUAGGCGGCCAGAUAGGUCCGUUGUGAAAACUGGAGGCUUAACCUCCAGCGGUCGAUGGAAACCAUCUGGCUAGAGUCCGGAAGAGGAGAGUGGAAUUCCUGGUGUAGCGGUGAAAUGCGCAGAUAUCAGGAAGAACACCCGUGGCGAAGGCGGCUCUCUGGGACGGUACUGACGCUGAGACGCGAAAGCGUGGGGAGCGAACAGG